rnacentral:rRNA from 1 species
AAUAGAUACCCUGGUAGUCCACGCCCUAAACGAUGUCGACUGGGUGUCGGGGAAGCGAUUCCUUGGUACCGUAGCUAACGCGUGAAGUCGACCGCCUGGGGAGUACGGCCGCAAGGUUAAAACUCAAAGGAAUUGACGGGGACCCGCACAAGCGGUGGAUGAUGUGGAUUAAUUCGAUGCAACGCGAACAACCUUACCUACCCUUGACAUGUCUGGAACCCUGCUGAGAGGCGGGGGUGCCCGAAAGGGAACCGGAACACAGGUGCUGCAUGGCUGUCGUCAGCUCGUGUCGUGAGAUGUUGGGUUAAGUCCCGCAACGAGUGCAACCCUUGUCUCUAGUUGCUACGCAAGGGCACUCUAGGGAGACUGCCGGUGACAAACCGGAGGAAGGUGGGGAUGACGUCAAGUCCUCAUGGCCCUUAUGGGGUAGGGCUUCACACGUCAUACAAUGGACGGUACAGAGGGUCGCCAACCCGCGAGGGGGAGCCAAUCCCAGAAAGCCGUUCGUAGUCCGGAUUGCAGUCUGCAACUCGACUGCAUGAAGUCGG